rnacentral:lncRNA from 1 species
UUCUUAUUGAUGACAUAUAAUUUAGUUUGCAAAUUUGAUUUAAAAAUUUGGUAUCCCUAACAUUACCUAUUAGAUAACGUAUUGCUACUGUAAUUUGGUAUUAUUGAUUGUAACCACUUUUGAAAACUAAACCAAAAUAACACACAUGAUUUCUGUAAUAGAACAAAAUAAACACUAUUUUUUGAAUUAUAGCAAAAUAACCACAUUAUUUUUUAAACUAAACCAAUAUAAUCCACACUAUUUUUGAAACUAUAGCCAAACAACCACACUAUUUCUGAAACUAAAUCAAAAUAACAACACUAUUUCUAAAACUGAACCACAAUAACUACACUAUUCAUGGAACUACUGCAAAAAUAACUCACACUAUUUCUAAAACUGAACCAAAAUAAUCCACACUAUUUAUGAAACUACAAAAAAAUUACUCACACUAUUUUUCAGAACCAAAAUAACCCACACUAUUUCUGAAACUAUAGCAAUAUAACCACACUAUUUCUGAAACUGAACUAAAAUAAUUCACACUAUUUAUGAAACUACAAAAAAAUUACUCACACUAUUUUUCAGAACCAAAAUAGCCCACACUAUUUCUGAAACUAUAGCAAUAUAACCACACUAUUUAUGAAACUAUAACAAAAUAACCACACUAUUUUUGGAACUACAGCAAAAUAACCUACAUUAUUUCUAGAACUACAACAAAAUAACUCACACUAUUUCUGAAACUGAACACAAAUAGCCACACAUUAUUUUUGGAAUUAUAACAAAAUAGCCCACACUAUUUUUGAAAAUUAAACCAAAAUAAUCUACAUGAUUUCUGGAAGGAAACAAAAUAAACAUUAGUUUUGGAAUUAUAGCAAAAUAACAUACAUUAUUUUGAAACUAAGCCAAAAUAACCAACACAAUUUCUGAUACUGAACAAAAUAACACACAAUAUUUUUAAGACUGCAACAAAAUUAUACCUAUUUU